rnacentral:rRNA from 1 species
GGGUGAGUAACACGUGGAUAACCUACCUAUAAGACUGGGAUAACUUCGGGAAACCGGAGCUAAUACCGGAUAACAUGUUGAACCGCAUGGCUCAACAGUGAAAGACGGUCUUGCUGUCACUUAUAGAUGGAUCCGCGCCGCAUUAGCUAGUUGGUAAGGUAACGGCUUACCAAGGCAACGAUGCGUAGCCGACCUGAGAGGGUGAUCGGCCACACUGGAACUGAGACACGGUCCAG